rnacentral:lncRNA from 1 species
GGCAUUAAAUUUAAACCGACAGCUGAGGUACUCAUCUUCGUUUAUCUAGCUGGAAUGGUGUCUGGUUCUACUGAUGGCCCGAUUUUUCCACUUAUUCAAGAAGUAGAUGUUUAUCAGUAUGAACCUUCAAAGCUGAAAAGUAAGCAUGAAGUUUAUACAUACCAACUUACUUUCUGAUCUGGUGCUAUUUAUCAUCAAUUUUGUUUGUUAAUUAAAUAUUUCAGGUAAAGCUCAUGAUUUUGGUGAUGGGAACAUGUACUUCUUCUCACGUGUACAGAAGAAAUAUAAAAAAGGAUCAAUUCGUGACAGAAAAGCUAAAGGUGGAUUUUGGAAGACCGGCAAGUGCAAUACUGUUAGAGGCAAAGAUGGGGGUACAGGUACAGAGAGGUCACUGACAUACUACAGCUACAGGCAUGACCCAAAACCGGGUGAAAAGCCAAUAAAGACCCAUUGGCUAAUGAGGGAGUAUAUGCUUAAGCGGCCAAAAAAUGAUAAAGAAUCCAUGGAAGGUUGCAAGGUUAAGAUAUAUAUAUCUGAUGCUUUUUCUAAUUAACGUCCUGUACUUUAUUAAAUUGGCAGGAAUACUUACUGAAGAAUUUCUACCUAUAGUGUAUAACUUUGAUAGUUUAUUAUUACGAUUAGUAAUUAUCUUUUGCAUAUGUUUUUUAAUUUGUUUUUCUUAAGUUAAUGCAGGCGCUCUGCGUGGUUUACUUUCAUGGGCAACGUGACAAUGAAGAUAAGCAAAAUUCACACCCAGAUGUGGAGGCGGAGGGAUCACCAACGCGCAAUAAUCCUGCAUUGAUACACUGGGAUUCAAACCUUGAGGCUAUCAAUCUUGAAGAAACACUUCCUCCUUCUUGGUCUUACUCAAACGUGUUCGCUCUGAGUCCUAAUUGUUAUCCUCUAUUAAACUCUACUCCAAACCCUGCAGCCAUCCCUUAUGAACAACCCCUGUUUUUUCCUCCAAACUCUUUCCAAAAUACGACAGAUAUAACCUUUGCAUCUUGGGGUUCCAUUUCUCCUGCUCCGAAUAAUAAUUUUCCAUUAUACAGCUCUAACUUGAACCCUGCAGCUUCCACUCCUGAACGUCCUUCUUCUAACUCUUUUCAAAAUAUGAUCAAUAUGAUGGGUGUAUCUUCGGCUGCUCCAGCUGAUUCAAUUAUCAAUACUCCGAAUAACUGGUGCAGUACACUUGCGGAACUAGAUCCACAAAACUGGAUGGUUGAGAGACAAGAGGCGGAUGGUUCUCCAUAUCAGUACUCCUCCAAUGACGAUAUACAGCUGCUAGAACAAUACCUAUUUGAAAACGAUCAAAUGUGGUUCCAAGCUUUCCCAAUACAGCAAUCGCCCAAAUCAUGAAUCAGAAUCAGGAUCCAAGCUGCUUGAACUCUGCAAAGGGUACUCUUUGGUACCCUGACCCAAUGUUGCUGCUUGACAAUACCAAAUGUCAAGAAUUAAUGAUUGCUACUUCCUACUAAUAUUGUUAGCUUUUUGCUUGUAAGCUAGAGCCGCGAUUGGUGUGCACCUGUCUUCAUUGGUUGUCGCUUUCUUUCUUUUCCACAUUUGUAUCGCGCUUUAAUUUCAUGUGCUGUAGGCUUAUUUUGCUAAGGUGUUUUUCAUGAUUAUCUUUCAGUUAUUGAUUUCUCUUUGUAGUGAUGUCAAUGGGGCGGGUUUGGGGCGGGAAAUGAUUACAAAAUUAAUCUACCAUGCAGAAAAUAGCCACGCCUAACAAAAUUCUACAGCCCAAUACCAGAAACGAAACAGUUCAGCUGAAGAAAAAAGAAAAAUACCUCUACAAGUCUAUAUGGUCAUUCUUUAAGAGUAUUUGCAAGAAGCUGGACUCCAAAAACUUUGCUGCGAUGAUUUCUGUGAGAGUUGAGAGCAAUUAAACAAAAAGGAGAACACCAUAAUCACAUGGGUAGUUUGUUAAUCCACAACAGAAUGACUUUGUCAACACAUAUCCCUACACAUUAUCACUUCUAAAACAAAGCUUCCUAUAAAGCAUUUAUUUGGAUAGAAGAAAAAGAAACCACUCACUCUAAUAUUGACUUUAUCGAUUGGAAAUAAGUGCAUAUAUAUAGAAACAAAAAAUACAGAGAUAACUAAUGGAGGUCCUAGCCUGCCAUCUACAUGUUUAAGUCUGCAGCUACAUGAAGUUUACAUAAACCAAAACUCAACCUAGGAAAUUAAAUAAAAACACAUGCAUAGGAAAAAGAAAUUUAGAAACAAAGAAGGUCUCAAAAGCCCACACUUGCAAAAAUCCUUUCUUAAGUUUCUUCUAUCCUACAGCAUUCAGACUCUUUCCAAAACGAAAAACAAUGCUUCAACAACUAAUUAAGCUAAAUUAAGGAAAUAUAAACACUUACACUAAUCGUAAAGCCAUCUAAUUAUUUUAAACACUCAUUUUCCAACUCAAUAGCUAAUUAAAAUUUAAGAUCAUAAAAACCCAAAAAUCAAAAAAUUCCUUUACCCUUCCACCCGACUGAAACUAAACGACCCCCCCCCCCCCCUUUUCAGUUUUUUCCACAAACCAAACAGCACCACCACUAAAAAAAUUAAAAAUUAAAAAAAAAAAACUUUCCUUCUCAUUCCCGAGAAAAAAAAAAUUUAAAAUUCCCAUAAUAUCAUCGUUGAAAAAGAGCAGAAGAACAGAUUAGUUUGUUAACCAAGAACAGAGUAGUUUGUUAACCAAGAACAGAGUAGUUUGUUAACCCAGCACAGAACAGAACGGCGUCAUCAAGACAUAUCCCACGUUUCGCAUUAUCCAUUAUCACCCAUAAAGCAAAGCUUCUUAUAAGCCAUACAUUUGUAGGGGAAAAAAAAAAAAGAAACCACUCAUUCUAUUUCGUCAAGUUCUUUCUUCUCUGGUUUCAUGCUUUCCAUCUCUACUUGAAACUUUUCAUUCUUUUCUCUUUUAUUAGGCCCAAAGCAUGGCUGUCGGUAACUCAAAUCACGGCUGCAGCCUCUGUUUCAGUGAGCUCUCCAUGGCUGCAGUUUGUGCUUCAGGCUAUGUGACUGAGAAUGAAAUCAGAAGAAGAUGAAUGAAAACACACAAAACGUAAAAUUGACUCAAAUCAAUGAAACCAGAUGCAAUUUGAAAUAAAUAAAUAAAGAAAGAAAAAUAGGAAAAGCAAAAACCUUGCAGCAGGAGAACCGAUAGCGCGGCUGGUGUUGGUCGGUGACGACGAACGGUGGCGACUGACCAGCUGUUAGCGACGGCAGCGGCGGCUGACGAGCUGUUAGGGUUUCUUUUGGGGGAACGAUUGAUUCAAUCCAAAUGAAUUAAGGAAUUUUUUUUUUUAGUUUUUAUUUUUGGGUCGGGUUAGGGGACCCGAAAAAAUUCCCAAAUCUAAAUCCAAAAUUUUUUUAGGCUUAGACCCAU